rnacentral:tRNA from 1 species
GGGGAUAUGGCGAAAUUGGAGUAGACGCUACGGACAAAAUCCGUCGACUUUAGAAAUCGUGAGGGUUCAAGUCCCUCUAUCCCCA